UGUGGAUAAAAUAAUACCAACAAAAAAUUCCCCCAAAAAAAAGGAAAAAAGAAAGAAAAGUGUAAAGAUCUUCAUUUAAUUGUCGUAAAGUGCUUUAUUUAUAUUACAUUUUAAUAAACCUUGUAAGGUGUAACUCUUCGAUUAGUCGUAGCGUACAAAGUGGUCGGGAUAGUGGGUGGAUUGAGGGAUGUGGAGAAAGGAAAUGGAAGAGGGUGAAGGAAAAUACAAUACAUGCCGACGUUUAUAUACGUUGAUUUCGUAUUUCUUAUUAAUUUAUCCUCUUUCUUAAUCCUUUCCUUUAUCUCUCCUUUAACGUGUUAUUAUUAUUAUUAUUAUUAUUAUUAUUAUUAUUAUCAUUAUUAUUAUUAUUAUUAUUAUUAUUAUUAUUAUUAUUAUUAUUAUUUGAAAAAUUUUUCGAGGAUAAGAGGGAGGGAAGGGAAGGGCGGACUGACGAGGUAUAGAGUUGAGAUCGAUAAUUAUUUUUCUUGUUUUUUGUUUUUCUUAUAAUUUGUUCUGUUUCGUUUUUUGUUUUUUUUUUCUUUUUUUCUUUAUUAUUAUUAUUAUUAUUAUUUCUUUUUUUUUUUUUUUUUUUUUUUUUUUGGAAUAAAGUAGUUAAAUAUAGAAAUAACGUGCUCUGUGUGUCCCCUAGUUACUCUCAUUCUGACUGUAUACGUAAAUAUAUUUAUAUAUAUAUGUAUAUAUAUACAUAUAUAUACGUAUAUAUAUAUAUAUAUAUAUAUAUAUAUAUAUAUAUAUAGAGAGAGAGAGAGAGAGAGAGAGAGAGAGAGAGAGAGAGAGAGAGAGAGAGAGAGAGAGAGAUGAAUGAAUGAAUAGAUGAAGGAUCGAUCGUAGGUCGGACUCGAAUCGAAAUAUCUUGAUUGUCGAUACAAUUUAUUAUUGCUCUAAUAAAAACGAGAUAGAGAGAUGUGAGAGAUUUGCGACACGAGACCGAGGCCCACGAGGAAAAGGCAAUACUGUGUUUUACACAUACACAUAUACAUACAUACAUAUAUACAUAUAUAUAAAUACAUAUAUAUAUAUAUACGUAUAUAUAUAUAUAUGUAUAUAUGUAUGUAUGUAUGUAUAUAUAUAUAUAUCUCUUUGAGACUUAUCACUAGUACUCUAAUAUCAUAGUACUUAAAUUGCGACGAUCUAUUCUUUUGAGAAAUAUCACACGUACGCACACGUACAUGUACACGCACAUACAUACACACACACACACACACACACACACACACACACAC